rnacentral:rRNA from 1 species
CCGAGAAUAUUGGACAAUGGGCGAAAGCCUGAUCCAGCGACAUUGCGUGGAGGAUGAAGACGUUCGCGCCGUAAACUCCUUUUAUAGGGAAAGAAGUAAUUGACGGUACCCUAUGAAUAAGCGGGGGCUAAUUCUGUGCCAGCAGCAGCGGUAAUACAGAACCCGCAAGCGUUAUCCGGAUUUAUUGGGCGUAAAGUGUUCGUAGGCGGUUCGGAAAGUCUGAUAUCAAAUAUCCGGGCUCAACCCGGGGCGAGUAUUGGAAACUUCCGAACUUGAAGGUGCUAGGGGCUAUCGGAACGCACGGUGUAGGGGUGAAAUCCGUUGAUAUCGUGCGGAACACCAAAAGCGAAGGCAGAUAGCUGGGGCAUUCUUGACGCUGAGGAACGAAAGCGUGGGGAGCAAAAAG